GGCCUACCAUGGUGGUAACGGGUAACGGGGUGUUAGGGCACGACACCGGAGAGGGAGCCUGAGAAACGGCUACCACAUCCAAGGAUGGCAGCAGGCGCGCAAAUUACCCAAUCCCGACACGGGGAGGUAGUGACAAUAAAUAACAAUACGGGGUUCUAAAGGAUUUCGUAAUUGGAAUGAGUACAAUUUAAAUCUCUUAACGAUCAACAAUUGGAGGGCAAGUCUGGUGCCAGCAGCCGCGGUAAUUCCAGCUCCAAUAGCGUAUAUUAAAGUUGCUGCAGUUAAAAAGCUCGUAGUUGAAUUUCGGGGUUAGUAGGUUGGUCAUGCCUCUGGUAUGUACUGAUCUCACUGAUUCCUCCCUCUUGACGAACUGUAAUGUCAUUAAUUUGGUGUUGCGGGAAAUCAGGACUGUUACUUUGAAAAAAUUAGAGUGUUUAAAGCAGGCUAAGGCUUGAAUACAUUAGCAUGGAAUAAUGAAAUAGGACGUUUGAUCCUAUUUUGUUGGUUUCUAGGAUUGACGUAAUGAUUAAUAGGGAUAGUUGGGGGCAUUAGUAUUCAAUUGUCAGAGGUGAAAUUCUUGGAUUUAUUGAAGACUAACUACUGCGAAAGCAUUUGCCAAGGAUGUUUUCAUUAAUCAAGAACGAAAGUUAGGGGAUCGAAGACGAUCAGAUACCGUCGUAGCCUUAACCAUAAACUAUGCCGACUAGGGAUCGGAUGAUGUUAAUUAUUUAAUGACUCAUUCGGCGCCUUACG
rnacentral:rRNA from 1 species